CCUACGGGUGGCAGCAGUGGGGAAUAUUGCACAAUGGGGGAAACCCUGAUGCAGCGACGCCGCGUGAGUGAAGAAGUAUUUCGGUAUGUAAAGCUCUAUCAGCAGGGAAGAAAAUGACGGUACCUGACUAAGACGCCCCGUCUAACUACGUGCCAGCAGCCGCGGUAAUACGUAGGGGGCAAGCGUUAUCCGGAUUUACUGGGUGUAAAGGGAGCGUAGACGGCAGCGCAAGUCUGAAGUGAAAUCCCAGGGCUUAACCAUGGAACUGCUGUGGAAACUGUGCAGCUAGAGUGCAGGAGAGGUAAGCGGAAUUCCUAGUGUAGCGGUGAAAUGCGUAGAUAUUAGGAGGAACACCAGUGGCGAAGGCGGCUUACUGGACUGUAACUGACGCUGAGGCUCGAAAGCGUGGGGAGCAAACAGGAUUAGAUACCCCUGUAGUC
rnacentral:rRNA from 1 species